AGAUGUGAGGGUGAUCUGGCUGCGACAUCUGUCACCCACCCUCAUUGAUCACCAGGGUUGAUUUGGCUGAUCUGGCUGACUAGGCAGGUAUCCCCUUCCUCCCUCACUGCUCCAUGUGUGUCCCUCCUGAAUCUGUGCACUUGGUGGAAGAGAAUGACCAUCCCCAGUAGAGGAGGACCGGUCUUCAGUCCAGGGUAUUUGAGA
rnacentral:snRNA from 1 species